rnacentral:rRNA from 1 species
UGGGGAAUAUUGGACAAUGGGCGAAAGCCUGAUCCAGCCAUGCCGCGUGUGUGAAGAAGGUCUUCGGAUUGUAAAGCACUUUAAGUUGGGAGGAAGGGCAUUAACCUAAUACGUUAGUGUUUUGACGUUACCGACAGAAUAAGCACCGGCUAACUCUGUGCCAGCAGCCGCGGUAAUACAGAGGGUGCAAGCGUUAAUCGGGAUUACUGGGCGUAAAGCGCGCGUAGGUGGUCUGUUAAGUUGGAUGUGAAAUCCCCGGGCUCAACCUGGGAACUGCAUUCAAAACUGACUGACUAGAGUAUGGUAGAGGGUGGUGGAAUUUCCUGUGUAGCGGUGAAAUGCGUAGAUAUAGGAAGGAACACCAGUGGCGAAGGCGACCACCUGGACUAAUACUGACACUGAGGUGCGAAAGCGUGGGGAGCAAACA